rnacentral:tRNA from 1 species
GCCCCCGUAGCUCAGUGGAUAGAGCAUCGGACUUCUAAUCCGCAGGUCGCUGGUUCGAAUCCAGCCGGGGGCA